UGACUGCUCCGGGAAGUCAGCCCCUCCCAUCAACCCCCGCGUCCCCUUGCGUUUCUGACCACGCUGGCCUCCAUUGACCCGUGAGCCAUUGCUUCAGCUCCAGACUGUGCAACUAAAUAAUAUUCGAUCACUCUGUAUUUUUUUGUCGAUUUGCAACUCCCGGUGGCGUUUUUACCGUUCUCCUUCUCUUUCCUGAUGCGCUUUCGCGUUGUAAUGCUAGACUCGGCAUAUGGGAGGCUUCACUACCUUUUCCGCCCCCUCACCCCCUUUCCCCUGGAAAUGUAGAUGUCCUUCUUGAUUCCAAUUUCCCUCGUUCCUAUGACCCCCCCCCCCGCUAAGUGCGGUGGCGUGGCCUUUUUCCAAUAUAAUAACGGGCGCGCGCCCCCGUCCCCUAAUCCGUAUUAAUCCAGUUUCCAACGUAACACUAACACUUUGGUCCGUCUUAGCCCUCGCCCUCCGGUGAAUUUCGUUUUAGGUGCAAAGUACCCAAUUUGCCAGGUUUUGUUCCGUCCCACAGUUCAUGAUUCGCAAGUCCCCCCCUACCGCACCCCCUGAUUUUCGGUGGUACGUCCUUUUUGGAACUUCACUGCGGCGCCGGCGGCCGGCGGGGGGGAGGUGGUGCUGUCGUCCAAUGGCCGAUGACCUUCCGAGGUUGGUACGCACGGUCGCCCAAGGAAGGUGUAAAGAGCUGCAAGAGCGAGAGGGGGGGGUGAACUUAUAAAACCGGUUUCAGUUGGAUUGUAGGCUGCAACUCGCCUACAUGAAGGGGGAAUUGCUAGUAAUCGGGGAUCAGCAUGGCGCGGGGAAUACGUUUCCGGGCCUUGUACACACCGCCCGUCACACCACGAGAGUUUGUAACACCCGAAGUCGGUGGGGUAACCUUUUGGAGCCAGCCGCCUAAGGUGACAGAUUAU
rnacentral:rRNA from 1 species